GGUGAACCCUCGCAUGAACCUGGCCGAGGAACAGGUGGUAGACAGCGUACAUAAGUAAAUGAAACGCAGUACUCGGGGGCAUUAGAGCGUAGCGUCCACGGGGACAAAAACAAUUGCACUAAAAUAAAAUAAAAGGAGAUAGCCUUAGCCAAGGUGGUGGUGGUGGUGGCGGUUGAUCACGUGAACGAGAAAUAGUAGUUUGCACGUUGGCUUGAAAAUAUCAUUGUGGGGUACCAGGGGGCUCCGUGAUGUUUGUCCGUCAUUCUGCCGUGAUGAUUGGAUUUUACUCGGAACAAUCGGACAUAAUUUCACCUUAUAUCAUCGUUGAAUGAGUAAAAACAGGCAUUUUACGGGGAAUCUCCCGACACCCAUCGAACACACAGUCUCAUUGGAACUUCCGGUGUUGAAGCAGAGAACAGGGGGCGAGAUACACACAAAUGUCUGGAUGGGGGAGGAGUGAGAGAACCUUCUGCGUAUGCAUUUGGCCUUUGUGUGCCUCCCAUGGCUAUAUAUGCCAAGCCUGAACUCGAGGAUACUCUUCUGAAUGUAAUGAACGACGUGGAAUGUACAUAACACCAUUCAGUGAUGAAUUUCGUGCUUUGAACCGGGAAUUUUUAAUUUAAUUCUCGAGAAAUUUAUAUGAGAGUACUGAAAAAAACAUGACACGUCUUGCCUUUCCAUUUCUCUUGAUAUUCGCUGAAUUAACUUCGUUGAAGCGGAUAUUCACAUUUAUAUUUCAAGAAAGUCAAAGUAUAUUUUUAAAAUGCAAAUGAAAAAUGGAAAAAUGAUUAAUAAAUGUGGCAAAUAAAUUAUUGAAAAAUUUUGAAA